CAGGAUGGGCCCGAAGCGGUCUAAGGCGCUGCGGUUCAGGUCGCAGUUCUCCCCUGGAGGCGUGGGUUCGAAUCCCACUUCUGACA
rnacentral:tRNA from 1 species